UGCCAGCAGCCGCGGUAAUACGUAAGUCGCAAGCGUUAUUCGGAUUGACUGGGCGUAAAGAGCAUGUAGGCUGGCUUAUAAGUCGGUUGUGAAAGCCCCGGGCUUAACCUGGGAACUGCAUUCGAUACUGUCUAGCUAGAGUAUGGUAGAGGGAAGUGGAAUUCCGGGUGUAGCGGUGAAAUGCGUAGAUAUCCGGAGGAACACCAGUGGCGAAGGCGACUUCCUGGACCAAUACUGACGCUGAGGUGCGAAAGCGUGGGGAGCAAACAGGAUUAGAUA
rnacentral:rRNA from 1 species